GAGCUCAGUCGCUAGAGCAUGAGACUCUUAAUGUCAGGGUCAUGGGUUUGAGCCCCACAUUGGGCA
rnacentral:tRNA from 1 species